GUAUCGGAUUGGCUCGCGUACCAUUAGCUAGUUGGCGGGGUAACGGCCCACCAAGGCGACGAUGGUUAGGGGUUCUGAGAGGAAGGUCCCCCACAUUGGAACUGAGACACGGUCCAGACUCCUACGGGAGGCAGCAGUGAGGAAUAUUGGACAAUGGCCGAGAGGCUGAUCCAGCCAUGCCGCGUGCGGGAGGACGGCCCUAUGGGUUGUAAACCGCUUUUGUUGGGGAGCAAUAAGUGUUACGUGUAACAUGAUGAGAGUACCCAGCGAAUAAGCAUCGGCUAACUCCGUGCCAGCAGCCGCGGUAAUACGGAGGAUGCAAGCGUUAUCCGGAUUUAUUGGGUUUAAAGGGUGCGUAGGCGGGCUGCUAAGCGUGAGGUGAAAUGCCACGGCUCAACCGUGGAACUGCCUCGCGAACUGGUAGUCUUGAAUGUCCGUGCCGUGGGAGGAAUGUGUGGUGUAGCGGUGAAAUGCAUAGAGAUCACACAGAACACCGAUUGCGAAGGCAUCUCACGAACGGAUGAUUGACGCUGAGGCACGAAAGCGUGGGGAUCAAACAGGAUUAGAUACCCUGGUAGUC
rnacentral:rRNA from 1 species